AUUGCACGCUGGCGGCAGGCCUAACACAUGCAAGUCGAACGAGUGGCGGACGGGUGAGUGAUUUCGGGGAAACUGCCUGAUGGAGGGGGAUAACUAAUGGAAACGGUAGCUAAUACCGCAUACCAUCGGAUGUGCCCAGAUGGGGUUAGCUAGUAGGUGGGGUAACGGCUGACCUAGGCGACGAUCCCUAGCUGGUCUGAGAGGAUGACCAGCCACACUGUAACUGAGACACUGUCCAGACUCCUCCGUGAGGCAGCAGUGGGGAAUAUUGCACCAUGGGCUCAAGCCUGAUGCAGCCAUGCCGCUGUUAUGAAGAAGGCCUUCGGGUUGUAAAGUACUUUCAGCGAGGAGGCGUUACCCGCAGAAGAAGCACCGGCUAACUCCGUGCCAGCAGCCGCGGUAAUUC
rnacentral:rRNA from 1 species